CCUACGGGAGGCAGCAGUGGGGAAUAUUGCACAAUGGGGGAAACCCUGAUGCAGCGACGCCGCGUGAGUGAAGAAGUAUUUCGGUACGUAAAGCUCUAUCAGCAGGGAAGAAAAUGACGGUACCUGACUAAGAAGCCCCGGCUAACUACGUGCCAGCAGCCGCGGUAAUACGUAGGGGGCAAGCGUUAUCCGGAUUUACUGGGUGUAAAGGGAGCGUAGACGGCAGCGCAAGUCUGGAGUGAAAUCCCAUGGCUUAACCAUGGAACUGCUUUGGAAACUGUGCAGCUAGAGUGCAGGAGAGGUAAGCGGAAUUCCUAGUGUAGCGGUGAAAUGCGUAGAUAUUAGGAGGAACACCAGUGGCGAAGGCGGCUUACUGGACUGUAAUUGACGUUGAGGCUCGAAAGCGUGGGGAGCAAACAGGAUUAGAUACCCCAGUAGUC
rnacentral:rRNA from 1 species